AUUGAACGCUGGCGGCAUGCCUUACACAUGCAAGUCGAACGGUAGGGGGGCAACCCCUGAGAGUGGCGAACGGGUGAGUAAUGCAUCGGAACGUGCCCAGUUGUGGGGGAUAACGUAGCGAAAGCUACGCUAAUACCGCAUACGACCUGAGGGUGAAAGGGGGGGAUCGCAAGACCUCUCGCAAUUGGAGCGGCCGAUGUCAGAUUAGCUAGUUGGUGGGGUAAAAGCCUACCAAGGCGACGAUCUGUAGCUGGUCUGAGAGGACGACCAGCCACACUGGGACUGGGACACGGCCCAGAGUCCUACGGGAGGCAGCAGUGGGGAAUUUUGGACAAUGGACGCAAGUCUGAUCCAGCCAUGCCGCGUGCAGGAAGAAGGCCUUCGGGUUGUAAACUGCUUUUGUCAGGGAAGAAAUCCCUUGGGAUAAUACCUCGGGGGGAUGACGGUACCUGAAGAAUAAGCACCGGCUAACUACGUGCCAGCCGCCGCAGUAUAAC
rnacentral:rRNA from 1 species